ensembl:lncRNA
UUCAUAUUUAUACAACAAAAUCUGAGUUUACAUUGGCGCUUUACUUUCAGUAGUUCUAAAACACGCGGUGAUUGUGCAGAGAGCCACAUCAAUUUACAGAAAUACUCAUAAUAAACAUUGAUAAAGAUACGACUAUUAUACAUGGAACUAAAUAAACUUCUCCUUAAUGCAACCGCUGUGUCAGAUUUCAAAAAAGCUUUACGGAGAAAGAAAGCGAUGCAAUAAUCUGAGUACAGCCUUUAGACAACAAAAAAGCCCAAAAGAUACCCGACAUAUUGGGUAGUAAACAUUACUCAGAAAUAGAAUUUGAAAUAUUCACUUACCUUUGAUUAUCUUCAUCAUAAUGCACUCCCAGGAAUCCCAGUUCCACCAUAAAUGCUUGAUUUCGAUAAUGUCCAUCAGUUAUGUCCAAAUAUCUUCUUUUGUUAGGGCGUUUGAUAAACAAAUCCAAAAGUGCGUUCAGGUCGCGCCGAACGUCGGACGAAAAGUUAAAAAAGUUCAGUUACAGCCCGUAGAAACAUUCCAAACCAAGUAUGGAAUACAUCUUUAGGAUGUUUUUAACAUAAAACUUCAUUAAUUUUCCAACCGGACAAUUCCUAUGUCUGUACAAAUGAAGUGGAACGUAGCUACCUUUCACGUGAGCGCGCCAGACCGAGGCUGUGGCACUCUGCCAGACCACUACCUCAAGGAGCCCUUAUGAGCCCCUCCUUUAGAGUAUAAUCCUCAAAAUAGGUUCUAAAUACUGUUGACAUCUAGUAGAAGCCUUGGGAAGUGAAACAUAACUAAUAUCACACGGUAUCUUCAAUGGGGGCUGAGGUGAUAAACUACAAACCUCAGAUUUCCCACUUCCUGCUUGGAUUUUUUUCUCAGGUUUUUGCCUGCUGUAUGAGUUAUGUUAUGCUCACAGACAUCAUUCAAACAGUUUUAGAAACUCCAGAGUGUUUUCUAUCCAGAUUUUCUAAUUAUAUGCAUAUUCUAGCUUUUACGGCUGAGUAGCAGGCAGCUUCAUUUGGGGACGUUUUUCAUCCAAGCUACCCAAUAUUGCCCCCUACCCCAAAGAAGUUAAACAGCUUGUCAACACUUCUUACAAAAACAGGUAGUGAUGAAGUAAAUCUCUCCUCCACUUUGAGCCAUGAGAGAUUGACAUGCAUAUUAUUAAUGUUAGUUUAACAUUUACAUUUAAGGGCCAGACAAUCCAGUGUUACUUCAAGCAGUUUAGUCGCCUCAAUUUACUCAAUUUCCACACUAUUCAUUGCAAUAUUUAGUUGAGGUUUAGUGAAUGAUUUGUCCCAAAUACAAUGCUUUUAGUUUUUGAAAUAUUUAGGACAAACUUAUUCCUUGCCAACCAUUCUGAAACUAACUGCAGCUUUUUGUUAAUUGUUGCAGUCAUUUCAAUCGAUGUAGUAGCUGACGUGGAUAUAGUGUUGAGUCAUCUGCAUACAUAGACACAUUGGCUAUUUGAGCCAGUAAAGGUUUUUUUUCACUGGCUCAAAUCUUUUAUUUUUUUUACUAUGGGUAGUGGAAUAACUUUUGCUUCUCCCCAGGCCUGAGGGUACACACUUUCUAGUAGGCUUAGAUGAACAAUAUGUCAAAUAGGAGAGGCAAUAUUGUUCGCUAUUAUCCUCAGUCAUUUUCCAUCCAAGUUGUCAGACGCCGGUGGCUUGUCAUUGUUGAUAGACAACAAUCAUUUUUUCACCUCUUCCACACUCACUUUACGAAUUCAAAAUUACAAUGCUUGUCUUUCAUAAUUUGUUCAGUUAUGCUUGGAUGUGUAGUGUUGGCAUUUGUUGCUGGCAUGUCAUGUAUAAGUUUGCUAAUCUUGCCAAUUAAGAAAUCAUUAAAGUAGUUGGAAAUAUCAGUGGGUUUUGUGAUGAAUGAGCCAUCUGAUUCAAAGAAUGUUGGAGCUGAGUUCGCCUUUUUUGCCCAACAUUUCAUUUAAGGUGUUCCAAAGGUUAUUACUAUCAAUGUUUAUGUCAUAUAUAUUUGUUUCAUGGUAUAGAUUCUUCUUAUUAUUAUGAAUUUUUUCACAUGACUUCUCAAUUUGCAGUACGUUUGCCAACCAGUUGUGCUGCCAGACUUAUUUGCCAUUCCUUUUGCAACAUCCGUCUCAGCCAUACCAUUUUUCAAUUUCUCGCCAAUCCAAGGGGAUUUAACAUUUCUUCAGUCAUUUUCUUAAUGGGUGCAUGCUUAUUCGUAACUGGAAUAAGCAAUUUCAUAGAUGUGUCAAGUGCAGCGUCUGGUUGCUCCUCAUUGCACCACAGACCAGCAAAUCUUUUUUACACCAUCAACAUAAGAAUCACUACAAUACUUAUCGUAUGACCUCUUAUACCCUAUAUUAGGCCCACCAUUUGGAACUUUGGUUUUCCGAUAUGUGGCUACUAUAUUGUGAUCACUACAUCCAAUGGAUUUUUAAACUGCUUUAAAGCAAAUUUCUGCUAAUUUAGUAAAGAUGUGAUACAUGAUGAUGAUUUAAUUCCUGUGCUGUUUAUAGAUAUACCUUAAUGCAACCGCUGUGUCUGAUUUCAAAAAAACUUUACGGAAUAAGCAAACCAUGCAAUAAUCUGAGACGGCGCUCAGAAAAAUAGUCAAAAUAGCCGCCAUGUUGGUGUCAACAUAAACAAGAAUUUACAUGAUAAAUAUUCCCUUACCUUUGAUGAUCUUCAUCAGAAAGCCUCCCAGGAAUCCCAGGUCCACAAUAAAUGUUUGUUUUGUUCGAUAAUGUGCGUUAUUGAUGUCCAAAUACCUCCUUUUUUUAGCGUGUUUGGUAUACAUAUCCAAAUGCUCAUUCUGGUCAGCGUUACGUCGGACAAAAACUUCAAAAAGUUAUAUUACAGGUCGAAGAAAUAUUUCAAACUAAGUACAGAAUAAAUCAUUAUGAUUUUUUAACAUAUAGCUUCAAUAAAGUUCCAACCGGAGUAUUCCUUUGUGUCUUGAUGAGCAAUGGAACGCAAGUGGAUACCAUGAGGAACGCGCGUGAUCAGAAAAUAGCUGACUGCCAGUCACCUGAUACAUUCUGCUCUCAUUAAGUCCCACAACACAGUAGAAGUCUCAUUCAAAUUUCUAUAGACGGUUGACAUCUAGUGGAAGCCCUCGAAGUGCAACAUCAUUAAUAUCUCAAUGGGAUAUCAAUGGGAACUGUGGUGAAUUCAUACCAAGCUUUUCAUACCAAGAUUUUUCACUUCCUGUUUUGAUUUCUCCUCAGGAUUUUGCCUGCCAUAUGAGUUCUGUUAUACUCACAGACAUCAUUCAAACAGUUUUAGAAACUUUAGAGUGUUUUCUGUCCAAUAAUAAUAAUAAUGAUAUGCAAAUAUUUGCAACUGAGACUGAGCAGCAGGCCGUUUACUUUGGGAACCUUAUUCAUCCAAGCUACUCAAUACUGCCUCCAGCCAUCAGAGGUUAACUACCCUGGUAAGCUGAACCAGGUUGCAGGCGCUAGUUACAGUUUGAAGAUUUUGUGGGGAACUUGUUGAAAGCCAGCCAAUAUUUUAAAUCACCCAGAAAAUAUACCUCUCUGUUGAUAUCACAUACAUUAUCAAGCCAGAUUGCAAGAUGGCGCCGACAGACAUGGCAGCUCUGCUUCUAGCUCCUAAGCAACUCUGCAGUAUUUUGUUUUUUUGGGUGCUAUUUCUUAUUUUAUUAGCCUAGAACUUUUUUUUGUGUCAUUUCAUACAGCCGGAAAAAACUUUUGCAUAUCAGAGAGGCGGUAAAUCACCAGCAUUACGAUCAGGAAUUUCCCAAAUUGGAUCCUUUAUUUGUAACCCAGGGUAAUUGAACUUAUCCCAGAGGCUGCAACAAGAAGAUGCCGAGGGUGAAGAGGUAUUCGGAGUGGACUUCUAGUUCGACUCAGGAGGCUUGCAUACCAUUCCCUGCUUCCGAGUAUUUUACCUGCUAAUGUUCAGUCUCUGGACAAUAAAGUAGACGAGUUUAGGGCGAGGAUCUCCUUUCAGAGAGACAUCAGGGACCAUAACAUACUCUGUUUCACAGAAUCAUUGCUCUCUCUGGAUAUACUGUCCCCGUCCAUACAGCCAGCUGGGUUCUCAGUACAUUGUGCAUACAGGGUAAAAUAAUUCUCCAGGAAGAAGAAAUGCAGUGGUGUAUGUUUCAUGAUUUACUACUCAUGGUGUGAUUCUGAUAAUGUAGAAAAAGUAAUUUUCUUCACCCGACCUAGUAUACCUCACGAUAAAAUGCAGACCGUAUUACCUCCCAAGAUAAUUAUCUUCAGUUAUAGUCACAGCCGUGAAUAUUCCCAUUCAAGCCGAUACCAUGACGGCCCUAAAGGAACUACAUGAGACAUUUUGCAAACUGGAAACCACAUGUCCUGAGGCCGCAUUUAUUGUAGCUGGGGAUUUUACGAAUGCAAAUUUGAGGAAAACGCAACCGAAGUUCUUUCAACACACUGACUGUAGUACUUUCGCUGCUAAAACGGUCAACCACUGUUAUUCUCCCUUAUGGGAUGCCUACAAGGCCCUCCCCCAACUUCCCUUAAAGGCACAGUCAACUUAGUAUAUGUAAACUUCUGACCCAUUGGAAUUGUAAAAGAGUGAAAUAAUCAGUAUAUAAACAAUUGUUGGAAAAAUUACUUGUCAUGCACAAAGUAGAUGUCCUAACCGACUUGCCAAAACUAUAGUUUGUUAACUUCUCUAGGAUAGGGGGCAGCAUUCGGAAUUUUGAAUGAAAAGCAUGCCCAAGUUCAACUGCCUGCAACUCAUCCCCAGAAGAUAAGAUAUGCAUAUUAUUAGAAAACACUCUGAAGUUUCUAAAACUGUUUGAAUCAUGUCUAUGAGUAUAACUGAACUUAUUUAGCAGGCAAAACCCCGAGGACGAACCAUUCAGAUGUUUUAUUUUGAGGUCACUCUCUUUUCAAUGGGAUUUCAUUGGGAAUCCAGAUUUCGAAGGGACCUUCUUGCAGUUCCUAUCGCUUCCGCUGGAUGUCAACAGUCUUUAGAAAUUGGUUGAGGUUUUUCCUUUGUGUAAUGAAGAAGUAGCACUGUUCAGAACGAGGGUCACUUGAAGUGUACUGUUAGGGGCGCGUGAUCAGAAAGCUAGCUACAGUUUGUUUUCCUCCUGUAUUGAACACAGAUCAUCCCGUCUUCAAUUCUAUCAAUUAUUUACGUAAAAUAAUACCUAAAGUUGUAUUACAAAAGUAGUUUGAAAUGUUUUGGCAAAGUUUACAGGUAACUUUUGAGAUAUUUUUGUAGUCACGUUGCGCAAGUUGGAACCUGUGUUUUUUUUGAUAAAACGCGCCAAAUAAAUUGACAUUUUGGAUAUAUAUCGACGGAAUUAAUUGAACAAAAGGACCAUUUGUGAUGUUUAUGGGACAUAUUGGAGUGCCAACAAAAGAAGCUCGUCAAAAGUAAGGCAUGAAUUAUAUUUUUUAUUUCUGCGUUUUGUGUCGCGCCUGCAGGGUUGAAAUAUGCUUCUCUCUCUUUGUUUACUGGGGUGCUAUCCUCAGAUAAUAGCAUCGUUUGCUUUUGCCGAGAAGCCUUUUUGAAAUUUGACAUGUUGCCUGGAUUCACAUCAAGUGAAGCUUUAAUUUGCUAUCUUGCAUGUGUGAUUUCAUGAAAGUUAGAUUUGAAUUUGGCGCUCUGCAUUUUCACUGGCUUUUGGCCAGGUGGGACGCUAGCGUCCCACAUAUACCAGAGGGGUUAAACAGCUUGGAAAAUUCCAAUGUCAUGGCUUUAGAAGCUCCUGAUAGGCUAACUGACAUCAUUUGAGUCAAUUGGAGGUGUACCUGUGGAUGUAUUUCAAGGCCUACCUUCAAACUCAGUGCUUCUUUGCUUCAUGAGAAAAUCCAAAUAAAUCAGCCAAGACCCCAGAAAAAGUUUUAGACCUCCACAAGUGUGGUUCAUUUUUGGGAGCAAUUUCCAAAUGCCUGAAGGUACCACGUUCAUCUGUACAAACAAUAGUACUCAAGUAUAAACACCAUGGGACCACACAGCCGUCAUACCGCUGUAACGAUUUUCUUCAUCUGAUGAGGAAAGAUCGGACCAAAACGCAGCGUAGUAAGUGUCCAUUUUAAUGAAAGAUAACUGAACACUGAAUACAAAAUAACCAAAGUGAAACAACGAAAAUCGAAACAGUCCUAUCAGGUGACAAAUCACAAAACAGGAAACAACUACUCACAAAUACUAGGUGGGAACAGGUUACCUAAGUAUGGUUCUCAAUCAGAGACAACGAAUGACAGCUGCCUCUGAUCGGGAACCAUACCAGGCUAAACACAGAAAUACAAAACAUAGAACAAAACCUAGAAUGCCCACCCCAACUCAUGCCCUGACCAAAACAACAUAGAGACAUAAAAAAGGAACUAAAGUCAGUACGUGACAGUAACCCCCCCCAAAGGUGCGGACUCUGGACGCAAAACCUGAACCUAUUGGGGAGGGUCUGGGUGGGCAUUUCACCGCGGUUGCGGCUCUGGUGCGGGAAGUAGACCCCACUCCACCUUAGUCUUGGCCCACUUCUGUGGCACCUCUGGAGUGGCGACCCUCGCCGCCGACCCCGGACUGGGGACCCUUACAGCAGGCACCGGACAGGCGGGAGACUCUGGCAGCGCCGGACAGGCAGGAGACUCUGGCGGCGCCGGACAGGCAGGAGGUUUUAGCUGCUCCAGACUGAUGGGAGACUCUGGCGGCACCAGACAGGCAGGAGACUCUGGCGGCGCCGGACAGGUGGGCUAGUAGCUAAGCUACGGUAAACAACUUCAGGCUUUUUGGUCUGGAAGGAUCCCAGGACAGAUUGUAGCUGUCCCAGCAGCUGAGGCUAACCGCGAUGCAGGAUCCAAAGUAAAAAAGUAUGUAAAUAAAACUUUGCAAGGAAACACUGUCGCAAACUUUCAAAAACAAUAAACUGAGGAGACAAAGUUUUCAGGGAUUGAGGCUAAUAAUACCCUACAACAGUUGCCCCCACAACUGUGAUAGAGGCAACCACUGGUAAGAGGCAUGAAACCUUAGUAAUUGCUCAACACAAUAAAUUAUUUUACUGCAGUCUCCCUUCAUCAGAACAUUCAGCAGAAAUCUCCUCAUGGGCUAGUAGGUUUUAUGUUGAUAGCAGAUCUUACUGCAGUUCAUUUUUAUGAAUUUGAUUAAUUAGCUGAUUAGUUCAUUUAGGUCUUAUAUCGUCUCCCUUCUGUCCCCCAGGAUCCGGGUUCAAUGUGUUUGUUUAUUUCCAACUUGCUGAAGUCUUCCUUCUGCUGACAAUCUGUCUGGGAUCAUACUGGUUUUACAAGAAGAAAACCUGUCCUCAAGAACAAGAUGAUGGUGAGUAAGCAGAGUGUUUGCAGUCUCUCAGGAUGAUCACGGUGGGACUCUAAGAGGGGUGUUGAUGUCAUGAAAGUUGCCAUGGAGACCACGACUAAUGAUGAUGUUAUACUGCUUAUUGCUGUUUUACUCUUAAUCAAGCUCAAACUCAAAGCACAGUCACAUAUUUAGUUAUUUUGACAUACGUCUUCAUAGUUUCAUAAUGUUCCUUCAGACCUGCCCUUAACAAAGUAAUAAUGAAUGAUCUAUGCGAUGGUAUUUAUUUAAUGGAUUUUAACUCUUGAAUUGUAGUGUUUUAGCGGUUUUUCAUUUGUACAUACAGUUUUUUAUAAACUAAUGAAAAUGCUAUUGUGUUUUUGAAAAAUACAUUUUCUUUUGUAUUCGAAUGUGACCUAAGGCCUUCACAAACAGAUUUUUAUUUUGCGAUAGCAAAUAUGUAGAGUUCAAAAAGUACCUGCACUCAAAACUAUGAAAAGGAAUGCAAAAAUAAUGCACUUAAUUUAAUCAAUGCUCAAAAGAAUACAAAAAGGUUCUAGAAAACAAAAACAGAGGAUGCAUUUUGACCACAUGUUUUUAUUAGUGCUGGGGAACUGUAACAGACACUUCCAUUCUUACUGUAACUUCAUCAUGUUUUGAUUUGAUGUGGUAUUUGUGCGAUUUUGAAUCCAUUGAAAUCAAAUCAAGCUACUUACUUACUAUUCUGGACCUUCAGAAUGGCACCAAAGGAGAUGACUGUCGUUUUACGAUCCCAUAACCAAUUGUGCUAUUAUGUAUGUUUUUUCGCGUUAUUUUGAACAUAAUGUUUCUGCCAUUGUGUCUUAUGACCGAAAAAAGCUUCUAGAUGUCAGAACAGCGAUUUCUCACCCCAUGCUGGAGGAAUACUUUGUCUUCAACGUGAAGGACGGGAUGGAUUUAUUUCAGACGCCUGACAAGACCCUCAUCCCCGUCAUUCACAGGAGAAAGAGACAGGGGUAUUGGGGACGAAGGUCUGGGUGCCUUGUAAGGAGGGUAGUCUACCUUUACCAUCGGUCCUAUUAGCCAACAUACAAUCAAUCGAUAAUAAAAUAGACAAACUGCGAUCAUGUAUAUCCACCAACUGGACUGUCACGAUGUAUAAUGAUAGGAGACAGGUGCAGGAAUACGAAAUAGGGUUUUUCUAUUUCUCCAACCAAAAUAGCGUACGUCAUGAACAUGAUGAGGACGAAGCCCAAAACAAACAUGUCAUAUAUAACACAGGGCUGUAACCCAAACAAAGAGUGAGGUGUAACCCUCUAAUAAAUACACUGGACGAGACCCGUAAUAACAAUACACAGGAAGAGACCUGUAAUAACAAGUGCACACUAACAUGGUAACACGCAAGCCGAUACAAGAGAGCACAGGUACUCACAAGACCAACGGACAUGGAACAAUAAUCAGCAAGGACAAUGGGGAACAGAGGGCACAUAUAUACACAUACUAAUUUUAUAUAACUAGGCAAAUCAGUUAAGAACAAACUCUUAUUUACAAUGACCUAGGAACAGUGGGUUAACUGCCUUGUUCAGGGGCAGAAUGCGAGGAAUCAAUCUAGCAACCUUUCGGUUACUGACCCAAUGCUCUAACCACCGGUAGCCACCUGCAGCACUGAUGUGGAAAUACAUUUAUUCCAUUAAAAAUCAAGUUGUGUUUUAAUAGACCUUUUGUUUGUGAACUGAAUUACCGUUGAGGGCCACAGAAAAUGUUACGGCAGGUCAGAUAUGUUCCCCUGGAUGCUAUUGUUAAUGAAGGGAUGAUGCCUCUAUAUGUUUGCCUGGUUCCAUUCUGUAUAUGCUCUGUAGCCACCUCUUCUGUCAUUGCACUGCUAUCAUUGUCGGGCCACCGACCUUUCAGACCUGACUGUGAUUUUUGUUUUUGAUUGGUUCACUGUGGAGUGAUACUUUAAUAACUGUUUCUAAGUAACUUUUUAACUCUAAAUGAGAUAUUUGGAAUGGCAAAGGAGAAACACAGAGAGGAGUUGACUAUACACCACAAACAGACUGGACCAUCUUUAUACCACUACAGGGCAAUACAGGGCAAUACCAUAAUGACUAUCAUAAAUACUAUGUCAGAAAGAGAAUGUAUACCCCCAGAAACAAGAUAGUACUGUCAGCUGCAUUUGUGUUCUGAACAUGUAUUAAUUUAGGUGAAAAAGCAAUUAUUUUUUAUAAAAAGCAAUUAAAAGGAAUUGCUUGUUUGUUUUCAACCUAUUUUCAAUAAAGUAGCCUAUUCUAUAUAGAAAGAAUUCAAAUAGAGAUAAUCCUUUUUUAAAAU